rnacentral:piRNA from 1 species
AAAAGGAGAUGUUGGUUUGGCGGAGA